GACGGAGGGUGCAAGCGUUGUUCGGAAUUACUGGGCGUAAAGGGCGCGUAGGCGGUCUGUUAAGUUCGGUGUGAAAGCCCCCGGCUCACCUGGGGAACUGCGCCGGAAACCGACAGACUCGAGUACCGGAGAGGAGGGUGGAAUUCCUGGUGUAGCGGUGAAAUGCGUAGAUAUCAAGAGGAACACCUGAGGCGAAGGCGGGUUGCUAGGCUGACACUGACGCUGAAGCGCGAAAGCCAGGGGAGCAAACGGG
rnacentral:rRNA from 1 species